GACGAACGCUGGCGGCGUGCUUAACACAUGCAAGUCGAACGGAAAGGCCCUGCUUGCAGGGUGCUCGAGUGGCGAACGGGUGAGUAACACGUGGGUGAUCUGCCCCUUACUUUGGGAUAAGCCUGGGAAACUUGGUCUAAUACUGGAUAGGACCAUGCUGUAGGUGGUGUGGUGGAAAGAUUAGUUUCGGUAAGGGAUGAGCUCGCGGCCUAUCAGCUUGUUGGUGGGGUAAUGGCCUACCAAGGCGUCGACGGGUAGCCGGCCUGAGAGGGUGGACGGCCACAUUGGGACUGAGAUACGGCCCAGACUCCUACGGGAGGCAGCAGAGGGGAAUAUUGCACAAUGGGCGCAAGCCUGAUGCAGCGACGCCGCGUGGGGGAUGACGGCCUUCGGGUUGUAAACUCCUUUCAGCCAUGACGAAGCCCUUGUGGUGACGGUAGUGGUAGAAGAAGCACCGGCUAACUACGUG
rnacentral:rRNA from 1 species